GACGAACGCUGGCGGCGUGCUUAACACAUGCAAGUCGAACGGAGAGGCCCUGCUUUUGUGGGGUGCUCGAGUGGCGAACGGGUGAGUAACACGUGAGUAACCUGCCCUUGACUUUGGGAUAACUUCAGGAGACUGGGGCUAAUACCGGAUAGGAGCCCCUGCUGCAUGGUGGGGGUUGGAAAGUUUCGGCGGUUGGGGAUGGACUCGCGGCUUAUCAGCUUGUUGGUGGGGUAGUGGCUUACCAAGGCUUUGACGGGUAGCCGGCCUGAGAGGGUGACCGGCCACAUUGGGACUGAGAUACGGCCCAGACUCCUACGGGAGGCAGCAGUGGGGAAUAUUGCACAAUGGGCGGAAGCCUGAUGCAGCAACGCCGCGUGCGGGAUGACGGCCUUCGGGUUGUAAACCGCUUUCGCCUGUGACGAAGCGUGAGUGACGGUAAUGGGUAAAGAAGCACCGGCUAACUACGUG
rnacentral:rRNA from 1 species